rnacentral:rRNA from 1 species
AGGACGAACGCUGGCGGCGUGCUUAACACAUGCAAGUCGAGGGCACUGUGAGGGCAACCUUGGAGUGACCGGCGAACGGGUGCGUAACACGUGAGCGACCUAGCCUGGUGGAGGGGGAUAGCCGGCCCAACGGCCGGGUAAUACCGCAUAGGGUGGUUUCUUCGCAUGGGGGGACCAGCAAAGCUGAGUCGUAAGACUUGGCGCCACAGGGGGGGCUCGCGGCCUAUCAGCUCGUUGGGGGGGUAAUGGCCCACCAAGGCGACGACGGGUAGCUGGU